rnacentral:lncRNA from 1 species
UAGGAAUUAUUUUGUGGAUGCAUUUAUCUCAUUUGUUCCAGAAGCGGUGCUUUUCAUUUUGUGUUAGGAUGGAAAUUUUAAGAACCACUUUAAUUUUCGUUUGAAGAAAAAAAAGGGCUAUCACAUUCUGGAGGAGAUGCAUCACGGGUUGCAUCUAGAACACCACAUACAACAAAGAAGGAGGCUGCUAUCACUCACGGACACUCAAUUUUCUUAGGAAAUUGCUGAAUCAUGAUAGAAUGGAGCGGUGCAGCAGCAUUGAGUUAAUUAGGAGGCGGUAAUAUAUUUUGUUAUUUGAUUCUAACAAUGUGUGACGUCUUGAAAAGAGAGGAACAUUUU